GGGAACGUACCCUUCACUACGGAAUAGUCCCGGGAAACUGGGUUUAAUACCGUAUACGCCCUUCGGGGGAAAGAAUUUCGGUGAGGGAUCGGCCCGCGUUAGAUUAGUUAGUUGGUGGGGUAAUGGCCUACCAAGACUACGAUCUAUAGCUGGUUUGAGAGGAUGAUCAGCAACACUGGGACUGAGACACGGCCCAGACUCCUACGGGAGGCAGCAGUGGGGAAUCUUAGACAAUGGGGGCAACCCUGAUCUAGCGAUGCCGCGUGAGUGAUGAAGGCCUUAGGGUCGUAAAGCUCUUUCGCCUGUGAUGAUAAUGACAGUAGCAGGUAAAGAAACCCCGGCUAACUCCGUGCCAGCAGCCGCGGUAAUACGGAGGGGGUUAGCGUUGUUCGGAAUUACUGGGCGUAAAGCGCACGUAGGCGGAUUAGUCAGUCAGAGGUGAAAUCCCAGGGCUCAACCCUGGAACUGCCUUUGAUACUGCUAGUCUUGAGUUCGAGAGAGGUAAGUGGAAUUCCGAGUGUAGAGGUGAAAUUCGUAGAUAUUCGGAGGAACACCAGUGGCGAAGGCGGCUUACUGGCUCGAUACUGACGCUG
rnacentral:rRNA from 1 species